rnacentral:rRNA from 1 species
GCCUAGUCAAGAUGAAGCCAGAGGAAACUCUGGUGGAUGUCUGAAGUUUUUCUGACGUGCAAAUCGAUAAUCUGAUCUGGGUAUAGGGGCGAAAGACUAAUCGAACCAUCUAGUAGCUGGUUCCUUCCGAAGUUUCCCUCAGGAUAGCAAGCGUACAAUGGUAGUUUCAUCCAGUAAAGCGAAUGAUUAGAGGUCUUGGGGCAUAUGUAGCCUCAACCUAUUCUCAAACUUUUAAUGGGUGUGAGUUCUCUUUCUUAAUUGAAGAGCUACUAAUAAAUAAGUAUGCUUAGUGGGCCAUUUUUGGUAAGCAGAACUGGCGCUGUGGGUUGAACCAAAUGUUGAGUUAAAGUGCCUAAAGCUAAAAUGCGUAUGAGAUCUAUAAAGGGUGUUAGUUGCUGAAGACAGCAGGACGGAGGCCAUGGA